rnacentral:rRNA from 1 species
UACGUAGGGUGCAAGCGUUAAUCGGAAUUACUGGGCGUAAAGCGUGCGCAGGCGGUUCGCUAAGACAGAUGUGAAAUCCCCGGGCUUAACCUGGGAACUGCAUUUGUGACUGGCGGGCUAGAGUAUGGCAGAGGGGGGUAGAAUUCCACGUGUAGCAGUGAAAUGCGUAGAGAUGUGGCGGAACACCGAUGGCGAAGGCAAUCCCCUGGGCCUGUACUGACGCUCAUGCACGAAAGCGUGGGGAGCAAACAGG